rnacentral:rRNA from 1 species
AGCAGCCGCGGUAAUUCCAGCUCCAAUAGCGUAUAUUAAAGUUGUUGCAGUUAAAAAGCUCGUAGUUGAAUUUCGGGAUCAAUAUGUCGGUCGUGCUAUCGGUACGUACUGGUAUCAUUGGUUUCUCCUUUCUGACGAACCAUGAUGUCAUUAAUUUGGUGUUAUGGGGAGUUAGGACUGUUACUUUGAAAAAAUUAGAGUGUUUAAAGCAGGCUUUAGCUUGAAUACAUUAGCAUGGAAUAAUGAAAUAGGACGUUCGAACCUAUUUUGUUGGUUUCUAGGAUCAACGUAAUGAUUAAUAGGGAUAGUUGGGGGCAUUAGUAUUCAAUUGUCAGAGGUGAAAUUCUUGGAUUUAUUGAAGACUAACUACUGCGAAAGCAUUUGCCAAGGAUGUUUUCAUUAAUCAAGAACGAAAGUUAGGGGAUCGAAGACGAUCAGAUACCGUCGUAG